rnacentral:rRNA from 1 species
AAGAAAGUAGGAAAGGGCACACGGGGGAUGCCUAGGCUCCCAGAGGCGAAGAAGGACGUGACAAGCUGCGAUAAGCGCCGGGGAUCGGCAAAUGCGAAUUGAUCCGGCGGUUUCCGAAUGGGGCAACCUAUCCGAUUGAAGAUCGGAUGUAUAGAUACGCGAACGCGCUGAACUGAAACAUCUAAGUAGGCGUAGGAGGAGAAAACAACAGUGAUUCCGCAAGUAGUGGCGAGCGAACGCGGAUUAGCCCAAACCGGAUAUGUUACGGCAUAUUCGGGGUUGUAGGACCAUGACAUGGCAUGCAAGCGUUAAGUGGAAACCGGAAGGGAAGCCGGUACCGCAGGGGGUGAUAGUCCCGUACACGUAAGCAAAUGCAGCCUAAUGGUAUCCUGAGUACCGCGGGGUCGGAGACGCCCUGCGGGAAUCCGGCGGCACCAUCCGCCAAGGCUAAAUACUCCUGGGAGACCGAUAGUGAACCAGUACCGUGAGGGAAAGGUGAAAAGAACCCCGAACAGGGGAGUGAAACAGAACCUGAAACCGUGUGCCUACAAUCGGUCGGAGUCCGUCAGCUGACGGAUGACGGCGUGCCUUUUGCAUAAUGAGCCUACGAGUUACACUUCACCGGCGAGGUUAACCCAUUCAGUGGGGGAGCCGAAGCGAAAGCGAGUCUGAACAGGGCGUGCAGUCGGUGGAGGUAGACGCGAAACCUUGUGAUCUACCCUUGGUCAGGCUGAAGGUGCCGUAACAGGUACUGGAGGGCCGAACCGAUAAGCGUUGAAAAGCUUCCGGAUGAACCGAGGGUAGGGGUGAAAGGCCAAUCAAACUGGGAAAUAGCUCGUACUCCCCGAAAUGUUUUUAGGAACAGCGUCGAUAUUGAGUCUAUAGGAGGUAGAGCUACCGAUUGGGUGCGGGGGAGUCACAUCCUACCAAAUCCAGACGAACUCCGAAUGCCGCGGGAUAUGCGCUGCAGUGAGGCUCCGGGUGCUAAGGUCCGGGGCCGAGAGGGAAAGAACCCAGACCACCGGCUAAGGUCCCCAAAUACACGCUAAGUUGGACUAACGAGGUCCGGCUGCACAGACAGCUAGGAUGUUGGCUUGGAAGCAGCCAUCCAUUUAAAGAGUGCGUAACAGCUCACUAGUCGAGCGGCCGGGCGUGGAUAAUGAACGGGCAUCAAGCGUGUUACCGAAGCUGUGGGAUCCGCCAUGGGGCGGAUCGGUAGGGGAGCAUUCCGGCGGGGGCGAAUCCGGGUCGUGAGAUCCGGUGGACUUUCCGGAAAAGCAAAUGUAGGCAUAAGUAACGAUAAGGGGGGUGGGAAACCCCCCCACCGAAAGACCAAGGUUUCCUGAUCAACGCUAAUCGGAUCAGGGUCAGUCGGGGCCUAAGGAUAAGCCGAACGGCGAAUCCGAUGGACAACGGGUUAAUAUUCCCGUACUUUUGGUUGCUGCGACGCGGGGACGGAGAAGUGACACCACCGCGCACUGACGGAAUAGUGCGUUGAAGGGCGUAGGUAUAGGAUCCACAGGCAAAUCCGUGGAUACUGCUGAACCCCGAUAGUACGGCAAGGCUCCGGCUGCGCCGAUAGUGUGGGUAAUCCUGCUUCCGAGAAAAACCGCUAAGCUCCAGGCAUCCAGAACCCGUACCGUAAACCGACACAGGUGGUCGGGGUGAGAAUCCUAAGGUGCUCGAGUGAAUCAUGGCUAAGGAACUCGGCAAAAUGGCCCUGUAACUUCGGGAGAAGGGGCGCUCCGGGCAACCGGAGCCGCAGUGAAAAGGCCCAGGCGACUGUUUAACAAAAACAUAUGGCUUUGCGAAAUCGAAAGAUGAUGUAUAAGGCCUGACACCUGCCCGGUGCCGGAAGGUUAAGAGGGGAUGUCAGGGGGUGACCCCGAAGCAUUGAAUCGAAGCCCCGGUAAACGGCGGCCGUAACUAUAACGGUCCUAAGGUAGCGAAAUUCCUUGUCGGGU